CCUACGGGGGGCAGCAGUGAGGAAUAUUGGUCAAUGGUCGGGAGACUGAACCAGCCAAGCCGCGUGAGGGAGGAAGGUACAGAGUAUCGUAAACCUCUUUUGUCAGGGAACAAAGACUGGGACGCGUCCCCGGAUGAGUGUACCUGAAGAAAAAGCAUCGGCUAACUCCGUGCCAGCAGCCGCGGUAAUACGGAGGAUGCGAGCGUUAUCCGGAUUUAUUGGGUUUAAAGGGUGCGUAGGCGGAAGGUUAAGUCAGCGGUCAAAUGUCGGUGCUCAACACCGGCCUGCCGUUGAAACUGGUCUUC
rnacentral:rRNA from 1 species